GCGGACGUGGCGGAAUUGGUAGACGCGCUAGAUUCAGGUUCUAGUGGGCAUUCGCUCGUGGAGGUUCAAGUCCUCUCGUCCGCACCA
rnacentral:tRNA from 1 species